CGCCAAUAUCAUUCUUAGCAUGUGUUUAAUGUUCUAGGUUCAGUUUUGAUAAUUGAUUGACUUAAAUUGAGUAAUUGAACCUAAGUUCGUUAUGAUUCGUGGUUAGGUGAAAAUGUGAAUUGACGAUCCGACCGUUGGAUCGUCACCAAACUUUGAUACGUUGUAAUACGUAAUAUUUGAGGAUUAUAGGAACUUACGGAUUGGGAAUCCGAUUUACGGAUCUUUCGAAAUUGGAGUUGUAAGUUCAUAAAAUAGAAUGUUAACCAUCACUUGGUUUUGACAAUUGACGGAGAUCCGACCGUUGGAUGGUAAGGAAAUUUUAGGAUGUUGUUCUAGAGAUAUAUUGUGGACCUCUGGAAGUUAUGGAUUGGAAAUUUGAGUUGCAGAUCUUCCGGAUCGAACUACGUAGUGACGUGUUUUAUAUAAGUUAUAUAUUCUAUCGAUAUGAUUUCUGAGGCUUGAUUUGAUGAUUGUUCUAGGCGCCGAUCGUCAUGACGUCUUGAUGUGUUGUGCUAGGGAGUUGUAGGGCGAACUCCAGGUGAGUGGGCAGUUUUGUUUUCCGUAUAUACCUAUAUAAAUGAGAUUUUUCCCAGGAAAUCAAUUUAAGUGAAAUGUGAUAUGAAAUGCGAUAUGAAAUGCCAUGCAAAACAUAUGCCUAAUUAUUUAUGCAUUAGUAAUUGCAUACAUGCAUGAUUGGUGCUGCGGACGCACAUGUAAGUGCCAGGUAAGUUCAUAAAUUAAAUUAUGUAAUUGUUGAGUUGAUAUGAUUGAAAGCUCAUAAACCUACACUAGGGUGAUCGUGAUUUAGUAGAGAUGAUUCAGGCAUGUAUAUAUAUGGUCACCCUGGCACCAUAUGCUCAUAAUUGGAUCCAAUUUAGGUGCAUGUCGUACAGACCAUUAAAGGUGGUUCCGACAUGUCGUACAGACCAUUAGAGGUGGUUCCGACUCGUAGGUGACUAGCGAUUUAUCGCAUAACUAUCAGGAGAGGAUAGCGUGAGCAUAACUAUAUUUCACCCAGUUUAGUCGCACAGACCUUUUCAGGGGUUCCGACUCGUGUGCAGUGUAGUGCCGUACAGGUCACUUGCGAUGACUCCGGCUAGAUAAGAUUGAUGAGAUUGAUUAUGAGCUAUAGAUUCAGCCGUACAGGCCACUAUAGGUGGAUCUGGUUAACAUAUUAUUUUUCAUGAGUUACUUAUAUGAUUUGAUGAGAUAUAUAUUUUUGGCAUGGCAUAUAAUUCACAUAUCACUACUUCUGAGUAUGGUUUGAGAUAAGUAUACGUAUUACAUAUUUCUGGGAAAGUAUACGGGUUUUACAGUGAGGGGUUAGCGUUUUGAUAAUGAGAUGAUUUUUGAAAAACUUUGUUUUACUGACCCACUCAACUUUGUUUUGCGCCCCUCCAGGUUCAAGAUAGCAGAACUUUGGUGGCCACAAGGAAUCCAACGGUGUUUUGACAGAAUUCAUAAAAGUAAGACUCACCCUCGGGUGUUACAUCUUAGUAAUUGUAUCUUUAAAGCUUCCGAACUGUGUAAAUGGUUACGUCACUCUCACGUGACGGCUAGAAUGCCCUCCUUCAGGACGGGGUGUGUCAUAAUAGGUUAAGGGUUAUGGUGUAAUAAAAAGAUAUUUAUAUGGACUCGAAGCCUCAACAUUUAUCAUUAGUGUGCAUUUUCGUUUUGAUAUUGCUUCCUAAUCCAUAUUUUGUUAGACCCACAUGGUUGAAUCAAAUAAAACAUAUGAACAUAAACUUACCUAGAGCUGCCACGAUUGAGAGAUUGUGUUGCUUGAAACUCAAAAAAGCUGUUAAAACUCAAAACUGGGAGGUCAACACAAAAUCAGUAUGACCAAUCUUUGAUGCGUUCAAAAUAUAAAACUAUAUCAGAGACUACUAAAUGGUUCACCCUUAUAAAUGUUUUACGUUCACUGGAACGGUCUAAUGUAUGUUUGCUUUGGAUUAUAAUAGUUCUCAAGACGAUGUAAUGUAAAUCUAUUAACAUGAAUUCGAUUACUUAUAAGCAAUACUUGGCCCCUUUAUAUAGGUCCUUAGUGAGCCCUAAAAGUCUUCGGCUUU
rnacentral:lncRNA from 1 species